rnacentral:tRNA from 1 species
GAGGGUAUAGCUCAGUGGUAGAGUACUUGCCUAGCAUGCACAAGGUCCUGGGUUCAAUCCUCAGCACCUCCA